UACAGAGGUCUCAAGCGUUGUUCGGAUUCACUGGGCGUAAAGGGUGCGUAGGUGGCUUGGUAAGUUUGAUGUGAAAUCUCCGGGCUUAACCCGGAAAUGGCAUUGAAUACUAUUGAGCUGGAGGGUUGGAGGGGGGACUGGAAUUCUCGGUGUAGCAGUGAAAUGCGUAGAUAUCGAGAGGAACACCAGUGGCGAAGGCGAGUCCCUGGACAACACCUGACACUGAGGCACGAAAGCUAGGGGAGCAAACAGG
rnacentral:rRNA from 1 species